AUACAGAGGGUGCAAGCGUUAAUCGGAUUUACUGGGCGUAAAGCGCGCGUAGGUGGCUAAUUAAGUCAAAUGUGAAAUCCCCGAGCUUAACUUGGGAAUUGCAUUCGAUACUGGUUAGCUAGAGUAUGGGAGAGGAUGGUAGAAUUACAGGUGUAGCGGUGAAAUGCGUAGAGAUCUGGAGGAAUACCGAUGGCGAAGGCAGCCAUCUGGCCUAAUACUGACACUGAGGUGCGAAAGCAUGGGGAGCAAACAGGAUUAGAUACCCUGGUAGUCCAUGCCGUAAACGAUGUCUACUAGCCGUUGGGGCCCUUGAGGCUUUAGUGGCGCAGCUAACGCGAUAAGUAGACCGCCUGGGGAGUACGGUCGCAAGACUAAAACUCAAAUGAAUUGACGGGG
rnacentral:rRNA from 1 species